UACAGAGGUCCCAAGCGUUGUUCGGAUUUACUGGGCGUAAAGGGUGCGUAGGCGGCAUGGAAAGUUCGGCGUGAAAUCUCCAGGCUCAACUUGGAAACUGCGCUGAAUACUUCCUUGCUAGAGGGUCGCAGAGGAGAUUGGAAUUCUCGGUGUAGCAGUGAAAUGCGUAGAUAUCGAGAGGAACAUCAGUGGCGAAAGCGAAUCUCUGGGCGGCAUCUGACGCUGAGGCACGAAAGCCAGGGGAGCAAACGGG
rnacentral:rRNA from 1 species